AUAAAAUUAAUAAAACAUCUUAAUUAACAGGAAUUAAAGUCCUCAAAAGGCAAGAAAAAUAAUCUUUUCAUUUUUUCAACAACGCCAUAAAAAAAGAAAGAAGAGUUUAACUCAAUCGUCUUCCAAUGAAACCAGGCUAAGUAAUAGUAUAGAAGCGAGCGGACGUGUUUUGCGGACGCUUAAUAAAAUUAA